rnacentral:rRNA from 1 species
ACGCACGCUGGCGGCAUGCCUCACACAUGCAAGUCGCACGAGACCUUCGGGUCUAGUGGCGCACGGGUGCGUAACGCGUGGGAACCUGCCCUUAGGUUCGGAAUAACUCUCCGAAAGGGGUGCUAAUACCGGAUAAUGUCUUCGGACCAAAGAUUUAUCGCCUUUGGAUGGGCCCGCGUUGGAUUAGCUAGUUGGUAGGGUAAAAGCCUACCAAGGCGACGAUCCAUAGCUGGUCUGAGAGGAUGAUCAGCCACACUGGGACUGAGACACGGCCCAGACUCCUACGGGAGGCAGCAGUGGGGAAUAUUGGACAAUGGGCGAAAGCCUGAUCCAGCAAUGCCGCGUGAGUGAUGAAGGCCUUAGGGUUGUAAAGCUCUUUUACCCGGGAUGAUAAUGACAGUACCGGGAGAAUAAGCUCCGGCUAACUCCGUG